UUAGCUUGUGAUUCGGUGUAAUGUGAAGGGUUUCGAGACUGCGGAAGUGAAAAAUGUGUGCUAGGGAGUUCGGUGCGAAUAAUUACAGGUAGCAUUGGCGUCGUCUAGGUUCAAACCAAUCAGCUAAUUAAACGAAAGGGAUUAUUUUCAAGAUUAAGUACCAAACACCGGAUUGAAUUUGAAAAUACUCGAGAACUCAACAUGGCGAUGGAGAAGACCUCGGUUUGCAGCAGAAAAAUCAGCAUUAAAAAACCCAAGAAAGGAGAGAAGUUCGUAACCGGUCUUUGAGAAAUGCUCGAGAUACCUAAUGAUUGAUAAGAAAAAUCAAGAUAGUCAUUUUUAAUGAAAGAAAGAAAACCCUAAUGUAACCUUGGAGACUGGAAUUAUCAAAAGUAUUAGAACCUAUGUGACUGCUGCGGCUGCCAGGACAAACCAUCGACAUUUUGCGGAGACAACUCAGCUUCUUCAUCUCUUUAAAAACAUAAACACCUACCUACCAGAAGCCAGAAGCGAAAUAAAAUGAAUACCUCACUACAGUAAUUUUUCGUAGAUAGGUAUGGCGUUUAGAUAUAUUAUUCAAGUUCUAAAAAACUUCUUGGAUCGUAUAUCUAAGCACAUACUUAAUUACUUACACUAUGGCUACUUCUAAAACAACGACGACGACAUUAAUUACAAGCGAAUGAAAAAUGACCCCAUUAAAAUUUAUACAAUAUCAAUAGAGUACCUAUCUAAGUAAUUUGAGAAACACAGUUAUAAAUAAUUUUUUUCCAUUUCAUACAGUAUAGAGGAAAUAAUGAAAUUUUUUAAUGCUUGUUCUAUACCUUACGAGCGUUUAAAUAAGCUAAUAAAGCAUACAUAAUUACAUCGAGCGAUGAAAUAUGUAUUGUAAUUAAAUUACCUAUUCAAUUGAGAAGUCGUUAUCGAGCAAAAAAAAGAAAUAGGCAAGUACUGAUGGAGGAAUUAGCUGGAACGAUUUGACGUAUAGGCUAAAAAAAAAUAUAGGUAUACCUUAAGGUGUUCAUAAAACAACAUUCGCAACAAAAUAUAUAAGCUAUAAGUUCAUAAAUUACGAGUAUUGUUUCAAGAUAUUGACGAUGAAGAGUGUGCCACAUUAUUUAUGACUGUAUUUUAGCAAUACAAAAGGAUGUAGAAUUGCAGUUAUCAGCACGUUCCAUAUACUCGUAUAGGUACUCGUAAGACUAACAAUUGGAAACUUUUUAGCUACUUUAUAGAAAAUAUGGAUAAUAAAGCUUCCGGGGUAAACCUCUAAUUACCCAGAAAGCUUUAACCAUUGGGUACCAAUUGUUGCUAAAAUUCGAUUCAAAUAGGUAGUACAUAGGAAGCUUUAUCUUAUAGUACGAGAACUUGGUGGUAGAUUAAAGUUGGAUACAUGGUAACACAGCAAAAAGAAGCACUUGAGCUGAACAAGAGUAUACGGUUAAAAUUUAUGGCUAAAUUUUGUACAAAGCUGAGCUCGGGCAGCGUGUAAUAAAGAUAAGGAAGAGAGAGAGAGAGAGAGACGAUGGUGCUGGAGAAUUUCUAUAGCGAUUAUUUUCGAAGCACCUUACGCGGCGACGAAUUCUUUUUGUUAACGUGAUACGAAAAGUUUUCGACGAAAGUUUAGCUAUUCUAUAGGAUACUCGCAUAUCUACUUUGUCGGCUGCGAAAAUUUUCGCAACACAGCCUAACGAUUGUGUAACUUUUCAGCAUUCGACGACUACUGCGAAUUACAUUUAGGGCCCGAGUCUUUUGCUGUGAAAUAGGUUUUAGGUAUAACAUUUUGUACGUUUUACAAGAUUGACUGUCGUAAUGGACAACCAUUUAGUUUUAUGGCGUUUUAUUUCGGACGUGUUUACCUUCCCGCGCCGUCCCGAACUUUAAUCCGUAUAAAAGAUUGAAUUAUUCUGAGCUUUUCAUCUACACGACGACGAUGACUGCCAGUUGCCACUGCCACCACCAAUACAACAGCUCUUCGAAUGAAAGUCAAAUUUCAACAAUCCACUUUGUACAUAGUGUUUCGCUUUUGGCUUUUUCGCAUUUUCAAGUCGCCAUUGCAAUCUUAUGAAUAGGUAUUUACAUUUUCACCCUCGAGUCGUCACGAGUGUAGGUACUUUACACAAUGAUAGAGUCAACUGUGCGAUCAAUUCACCGAAUAUAAUAAAAUUAUACUAUCUUUAAUUACGUUUAGCAUAAAUAAAAAUUUAAAAGAAUUAAAAAUUACAGAGUUUGUUCGCGAACCAUAAAUAUUUUUCACUGUUUUUUUGCUCUGAUUCGUACUGUGCGAAAAAAAAAGCUCCGCCGUAAAGCAACAUAGACUUCCUUCUUUUCAUUUUUUCUGACUAACGAGUCGGCCAACUGUGACGAGUGCAAGGACAAUACCCGCUGUGCCUUGGCUUUAUUUGCACGUGAAUACAAAUAAUCUACCUAUAGUUGGAGUAAUUAGAUAUUUUUUUCAAAAUGUAUGCAUAUGCUUACUUUAUCGUCGCAGGUACGACAAACGAAAAAAAAAAAACCGAGUCGCAAAUCAAAUCAACCGACAAAUGGCCGCACCUUUGAUGGGAAUUUGGGAACUUUAUGGUGUAGUUAAUGUAUAUUUGAUGGUUGGUAGGUACGUAACUAUAACCAUUGCAACAAAAUAUGGCACCUUAUGUAGACUAGGUAUAGUAUGUAAACAAUAUGAUAAGGUAAUAAUGGCUACUGUUUUACUGUAUUUUAUUAUAUGUAAGUAGGUAAUAGGUAUGCGAAGAAUAAAGCAAAUGAAAGAAAAAAAAAUGGAAAGUGCAACGAGAAGAUAUGGUGUGUAAUUUAUGAGAAUAAUUUUUUCUUCUAUUCUUUAGUUAGAUAUAGUGUAGCGUAGGCAGGUAUUACUAAGAAUGUAUAAUAUAAUGCAUACUUGCGUUUGUGAUAAAGUUCAAAAACCUAUACCUACUUAUACUUAACAUAUUUCCAUCUCUUCGUGGCCUUAACUUAUAGCUUUAUUUAUAUUUUAUACACAUAUACUUAUAACCAGGUCCAACAUCCAUAAUAUUUUAAUCUGCAAAUGAAUGUUUAUGUCUAUACUUAUUACUUACCUAUACUUAUGGGGUAAUUGUACCAAAAUGAGUAUUUUCAUCAAACAUGAGUUUGAAAUUCGAUCCGUUAAAUUGAAAAUAUUGAGCUAAAAUGUUUUGCUUGUAUGUAUUUGUAUACAGAAAAAAGAGUGGGACGUUAUUGGAAAUCAUUCAAUCAAUUAUUUUCUCAAUACUAGACGAAAUCGAGUAAGAAUUAAUAACCCGGUAAACACACCGAACGCGAAUCGCCGGCGGAAAUCGCGGUCGCGAAAAUCGCGUUCGAUUCGCCGGCGAAUAGAAGGCAGAAAUCGCAGUGAAAAAAAUGAAAAAUCUCGUUGCAAAAAUCGUAGGCGUAUCGCGGGCGAAUAGACGGCGGAAAUCGCAGUGAAAAAAAUGAAAAAACUCGAUGCGAAAAUCGUAGGCGUAUCGCCGGCGGAUUCAGCAGUGAUAUUUUCAACGCGAUACUCGCGUUCUAUCCGCCGGCGAAUCGAACGCGACAAUCGCGCUGAAAAAAUUUGAAAAAAACACUGCUGAAUCCGCCGGCGAUACGCCUACGAAUUUCGCAACGAUCUUUUUCAUUUUUUUCAGCGCGAUUUCCGCGGUCUAUUCGUCGGCGAAUAGAAGGCGAAUUUAGUAGAGUUCUUUUACAAUAUUUUUCAUGCGAUUUUCGCAUUUGUUUCGCGUUCAAUCGAGUGAGCAUUCAGAUGUUCUUACGCAAGCAUGCAAUAACGAGCAGAAUGUUGUGUUUUUUUUUAUCUUUUCGUUCGUGUUUAUUUCAAAUUGGUUUUCUGGUGUUGAAUUUUGAUUAAUUUUUUUGGAG